AAUAUAUUUUUCUCAAAAUUGUAAUCUUACUAGUUUACCUCUUCACUAGUUUACUUCAGUAGAAACCAAUAUGAUGGCCAAAUAACAACUUUUGAGUACAAAAUUUAUACUGAAGCUUACUUAAAUAAAGGACAAACUACUUAAGAAACGAACGUAUCAACAGCCUUCACACAAUAAACAUCGUGUGUUUUUUUUUGUUAAUUCGGAUUGUUGAUGUGUGUUGUGACGUUUAUCAAUAAUUUAUUUACAAGCUUCACCUCAAGCACAUGUUGCGGAUGUUCUAGCAAUUCAUGUCAACCCCUGCCAUCGCUACUCAAGAACUGAACUAAACUGACUGAGAAUUGAGGACUGUUACUAGAUUACUUAAUUCUAAUAAAAUCAAUCAGCAGAAAAUAGUGCAAGCCAUCAAACUGUUAUAGAAUACUAUUACCUGUGUCAAGAAAAACAAAAUGAAUUCAUACAGAA